AAAGUCGUAACAAGGUAACCGUAGGUGAACCUGCGGUUGGAUCAUUAAAAAGAUCUAGCCCGGAGUGGGACUGGGUAUCUUCGCCGAUCACCCUAACCCAUACCGGGUUUUCUCACCUCAAAAGUGAGUCAACAUUAUGUGAACUGUUCUGUCUCUGGCGGUGGGGUGGUGUCAAAACCACCUGUCAGCAUCCGGGUUCUCUCGGUGUGCCGUGGACAAGCCGUCAAUGGUGUAUGUUUCAUACAAACUUUUGUUUCAUCAAUCUGUCUGACAUACCUUUGUAUCUAAAAUAUACAAAAACAACUUUUGGCAACGGAUCUCUUGGCUCCC
rnacentral:misc_RNA from 1 species